AAGCUGCAAUGCUAACUCCAGCUCACAUAUCACGCCGCUCAUUGCCGGUCUUUGUGCUCCAUUGUCACGCAAACAGCUCUCCGCGAUCUCUCCAAAUUUCUCCAAACAGGCAAGAUCAGCAUCACCUCUCAAGUGCGGGUCCAUUAUUCGGUCGAGUGCACCUCUUCUAUAGCAGAUUCUAGCCCAAUCAGCUAAAUUCGCUUGCUCUUUGGGUAAUCCUGGAAUUACAGGUGCCCUAGCACAUAAUACCUCCAAUAGAACAACUCCGAAUGAGUACACGUCAGAUUUUUCAGUGAGGUGUUGCCUACGAUAAUACUCUGGAUCUACAUAUCCAACACUACCCCUGACAACAGUGCUGACUUGCGUUUGGGACUGGCUAGUGGGACCCAUUCUUGACAAGUCAAAGUCAGAAACUUUAGCCACCCAGUUCUUCAUCUAUCAGUAUGUUCGUUGACUUGACGUCGCGGUGAAUGAUCGGGUGUUUCGCACCUGUAUGGAGAUGAUGCAGUCCAUGUGCAGCUCCGAUGCAGAUCUGUAGUCUUUGCUUCCAUGGAAGAGGAGGGUUUUUGGUU